GCCGGGCGUGGUGGUGUGUGCCUGUAAUCCCAGCUACUCAGGAGGCUGAGGCAGGAGAAUUGCUUGAAUCCAGGAGGUGGAGGUUGCAGUGGGCCGAGAUUGUGCCACAGCACUCCAGCCUGAGUAACAGAGCAAGACUCUGUCUCAA
rnacentral:SRP_RNA from 1 species